UGUCCAGCAUAAAUGAUGUGAGAAUUAGUCGGCAAGGAUUCGAGAAAAGGGUGGUUCCCAAGAUUUGCAGCUUUGGCUUUCUAAUGCACCACCUAUUGGAGAUCAAUACACUCUUCUUGCACGAGCUGGACGACAGGUACAAGAAAUACAACUGAUAACUUCACUGGAUCAAGAUGGAAUCAAAAAGGCAUUGCAGCAUGUUUUAGAACGUGUUCCGUAAAUCUCUGUUAUUGCUAUCGAAGCCUAAAAGAAAGGGAGAAUUCUGUGAUUGGUGAUGACCAAUUUUCCAUGUCAUAUGCAGUAUUUAUUGUACGUCAGAUAACAUAAUCAAGUGACACACAUGUAUAUAGUUUUACCAUUUUUUACGUCGAGGAAUUUUGGGAAUUUCCAUGCCCAAUUUUUUUUUGGGAAAAAAAAUGGUCAGAUAACUAA